UACGUAGGGGGCAAGCGUUGUCCGGAUUUAUUGGGCGUAAAGAGCGUGUAGGCGGCCAGAUAAGUCCGCUGUGAAAAUCGUCGAGGCCUCAACUUCGAGCUGUCGGUGGGAAACUAUCUGGCUAGAGUCCGGAAGAGGAGAAUGGAAUUCCUGGUGUAGCGGUGAAAUGCGCAGAUAUCAGGAAGAACACCCGUGGCGAAGGCGGUUCUCUGGGACGGUACUGACGCUGAGACGCGAAAGCGUGGGGAGCGAACAGG
rnacentral:rRNA from 1 species